rnacentral:rRNA from 1 species
AUUGAACGCUGGCGGCAGGCCUAACACAUGCAAGUCGAGCGAGCGGCGGACGGGUGAGUAAUGCCUGGGAAUUGCCCAGUAGAGGGGGAUAACAGUUGGAAACGACUGAUAAAACCGCAUACGAUUGGAUUGCCCAGGUGGGAUUAGCUAGUGGGUGGGGUAAUGGCGCACAAAGGAGACGAUCCCGAGCUGGUCUGAGAGGAUGCUGAGCCACGCUGGAACGGAGCCACGGUCCAGACUCCUACGGGAGGCAGCAGUGGGGAAUAUUGCACUAUGGGGGAAACCCUAAUGCAGCCAUGCCGCGUGUGUGAAGCAGGCCUUCGGGUUGUAAAGCACUUUCAUCGAGGAGGCGUUACUCGCAGAAUAAGCACCGGCUAACUCCGUGCCAGCAGCCGCGGUAAUAC